GACAACAUAUGUUCAAUCGACUAUACAGAUAAUAAUCUAUAAAUAGAAAAUUUAAUAUUUAAAACAUCAAAAACUAAUGCUAAAAUACAUAAUAAACAAAUAUAAAAAUCUGAAAAUUUAAAAUAAAAAAUAAAUAUCAGCCACGAAAAAUAAAGUAUUUUACCAUUUUAUAAUUCAAAUGGCCGGAAAAAUGGUGGUUUGCCGAGAAGGAUGUUCGGGGAGGUCGCUGGAUUUUUGAGAUAGAAUUGACAUCAAUAGCUAGGUCUUGAGGAGACCUAUCCAUUGAUGUAUGUAUUGUAUGAUGGUAGUAGCCAGAACUUCAAUAACUUGGGAGAAAAAGUGACGAAAAAGUUUCUUAGAUCUAGGAUUCAAGGAGUUUGAGAGUUUUCUGAAGGAUUUGGUUUGAAGAUAUGGAAAGAGGAGGUGGUGGAGACUACAUGGUAAAAUUUUGGGUCGGAUUGGAGGUUGGCCGCCGCCGGUGGGCGAUAUACGGCGGCGGCGAUGGGCGGCGCCGGCGGCUUGGGGGAUGGAGAAGAGGUGGUAAAAUUUUCGGUCGGAUUGGAGGUCGGCCGCCGCUAGUGGUAGAUUUCUGACGGCGGCGCCGACGUCUUGGGGGAGGGAGAAGAGAGAGUGGUGAAAGGAAAAUAAGAUAGAGG
rnacentral:lncRNA from 1 species